UUUAUUUGCGGGACACUCCCAUAGCUGCGACAACAUUGAACACAAUCAUCUACUCCAUCAUUUUGUAUAACGUAUUUAACUGGAAAUAAGUUAUAGAACAGUAGUGAUGUAUCAUGUAUAACUAUUUUGCAGUAGCGUAUAUUCAAAGGUUGUAUGUAAUUUAAUACUGGUAAAUUAUAAUAAUUCUUAAAAGUCAAAUAUGACUGAGACAGUAAAAGUAAUGGCAAGUCCAUGAAACAAAUAAAACGUCAUCCUAAUAUAGACGAAAACAAAUUGAAAAAAUACUUCUACCUUUGGUUCUCGCACUGUUAUUGGUUAAAUAUCAGCUUGAGCUUCUUAAGCAACUUCAGUAAUUCACGGCAGGAACUGUUGUAACUAGAAAAAUUGUUCUUUAUAUAGGCCUACCGUCUAUGUUUUCCCAGGUGCUUAUCACUACAUACACCAGGCUCCGCCCUAAUGCGAUCUACAUCCGUCUGUGAACAGAAAGUUGUUAACAUCGCCUUUCAAAAGACAGGUAACCAUGCAUGGUAAGACCGUGGCAACUUUUAAAAGUUGAUAGGUCGACAUGGCAGGAAAAUGUAUCUGUGCAUGUCGACAUGACAUGUAUAUUAUGUCGACUUGUCAAGUAUUAAUCUUGAGAAGUCGUCAAGUAGGAUGGCACUUAAGCGCUCCCAUAUACAGGUGAAGUGUAUUGCAAGUGCGCACUUCUCCGUGUGUGAUGUGUCUGUCUGUCUGUCGGUCUGUCUGUCGUGGUGUCUGUCUGUCUGUCUGUCUGUGGUGUGUGUGUCCUUCAGGGGGAAUAACUCAAAGAUUACUAGACUGUUUUUCACACCCUGACAAUAUUACAUGUAUCCGACUUUAUUUGGUGCUGAUCAAAGGUUCUUAUUUUUCCCGGGUGCGUUAUCACUACAUAAACCAGGCUCCGCACUAAUACCACCUACAUAAUCCAUCCGUGGACAGAAAUUUGUUGUUAAUGGAGUCUCAAUAGAUUGACAGCUCUAACUAUUUUUGGUGUCUGGCGCAGAAAACAAUGUUAAGAUGCUAAACCCUAGACGGAAAUUUCUAGCUGUUGAAAUGAUGUGGAAGAGUCAACAAACGCCUGUUUAAUCAACUGAGCAUUAUAUAUACUUCAAAACGGAAACAAUGAAAUCUAUUUUGUUAUAUCGGGCUUUCACUUUCAAUUUCUACAAGGAUUAGCUCUUAUACCUUUUCAGUCGGCAUUUGUUUACCCCUCAACGUAAUAUUUAUUCCAUUUUUG